AACGAACGCUGGCGGCGGGGUUUAGGCAUGCAAGUCGAGCGAGAAAGGGGAAACCCGAGUAAAGCGGCGUAAGGGUGAGUAAUAGGUAGUUCACGUAUCCUCCAGAUGCGGAUAAUUCCCCGAAAGGGGUUGUAAUACGCGAUGAGACCACGCGGGAUCCGUCCUGUGAGGUCAAAGGUUCGGGAUCCUUCGGGACCGAGCGCUGGUGGAGCGGACGACCUCCGAUUAGCUAGAUGGCGGGGUAACGCCCACCANGGCGAUGAUCGGUAGCCGGCCUGAGAGGGCGCACGGACACACUGGAACUGAAACACGGUCCAGACUCCUACGGGAGGCAGCAGUGGGGAAGUUUUGCGCAAUGGGGGAAACCCGUAGACGCAGCAACGCCGCGU
rnacentral:rRNA from 1 species